rnacentral:rRNA from 1 species
GACGAACGCUGGCGGCGUGCUUAACACAUGCAAGUAGAACGGAAAGGCCCGGCUCUUGCGGGGUGCGCGAGUGGCGAACGGGUGAGUAACACGCGAGUAAACUGCCCUUGACUUUGGGAUAACAUUAGGAAACUGGGGAUCAAAUAGGGCAGGAGAUCCUGUUGCAUGGGGGGGGUUGGUAAGUUUCGCCGUUUGGGGAUGACCAGGCGGCUUAUCAGCGUGUUGGUGAGGUGGUGGCUUACCAACGCGUUGACGGGUAGCCGGCCUGGGAGGGUGACCGGGCACAGUGGGCCUGGGGUGGGGCCCAGACUCCUACGGGGGGCAGCGGUGGGGGAUUUUGCGCAAUGGGCGGAAGCCUGAUGCAGCAACGCCGCGUGCUGGAUGUCUGCCUUCGGGUUGUAAACCGCUUUCGCCUGUAACGAAGCGUGAGUGACGGUAAUGGGUAAAGAAGCACCGGCUAACUACGUG